GGCAGUCUAUACCCCAACUCAACUGGCUGGUCCUCAAUGCUGCCUGCUUCCGUGCCCAACUUAGAACUACACAUCUGCUGCCUCUUGGUAACAUGUCAUUAUAAGAGUUUCACUCUGUUGCCAGGCUGGAGUACAGUGGCACGAUCUUGGCUCACUGCAACCUCCACCUCCCAGGUUCAAGAGAUACUCCUGCCUCAGCCUCCUGAGUAGCUGGGACUACAGCCACGUGCCACCACACCCAUCUAAUUUUUGUAUUUUUAGUAGAGACUGAGUUUCACCAUGUUGGCCAGGCCAGGAUGGUCUCUAUCUCUUGACCUCAUGAUCCACCCGCCUUGGCCUCUCAAAGUGCUGGGACUGCAGGCUUCUUCAUCAGCCCUAACCCUGCCAACCACUCCUGCCUCACUGAAUGUGCCAACGGAUUGCUCAGCUCCAACCAAGGAAAAGAAGAAGGAAGUUGGAUACUUUAUACCCUCUACAUUGUCCAUUAGCAACACAACCUAGAGCUAGGAUGGAGAAAGAAAAUGCCAAAAUGCUAAUGAAAAAUGUUCAGAUGUAUCACAUAUUAAGCAUACAUGAUCUCAAAUAUUUUGCCUGAUUUAUGCUAUGCAUGCUAUUUUCCAUGUUGUGUAGGCUCUGAUGCUAGUCUACAUUUACAGAAAUCUCCAUCAGCUGUACAAAUGGCAAUUUAAAUACAUUUAACUAUGUGCUAAUAAUCUCAUAAUACAAUUUAUCAUGUAUGAUUGGCAGAAGAAAUUAUUUGGGGCAAAAGCUAUGAUUGUAUUGUUGUAAGUUAUUAUGAAUGCUGGGCAGUGUAGGGCAUGGCACUUGCUACCACCUCCCAGAAAUGUGUAAGGGC
rnacentral:lncRNA from 1 species